rnacentral:lncRNA from 1 species
ACAUAGUUUUGUUCCAGAGAAUCUCUGAACCUAAACAUUUCCUUUCAGACACUUUAUUCCCAGAGGAUCCUGGCUUUCUGCAAGAGCCCUUUGUAGUCCAGCUGGAUGUCAUUACAUAAUUAAGCCUGUGAGCCAGGAGGUAGUCCUGAGAAUGGCAAUUUUACAAUACAUUGCCAGAUCAAGAGAAGCAAAGAAUGCAAAAGAAAGUGAAAGCGAGAGACCAGGAGUUGGAAGCCCAGCCAGCAUAGAUCAGCUUCAAUUCAAGCUUGAAUUGAAAAUGACUAUCAUUCUUGUUGUGCUGCAUCCUACUGUGUUUGGUUAUUGCAUUACACAGAAGAGGCAGUGGCCAUAUCCUGUGGACAGCUCCAUUGCCUUCACCAUGGGUUAACCAGCUGUUCAAUAUCCCAACACAGGGAGUUUUUAAACCUUUCUCUGCCAAUUUGAUCUUCUGGCACACUCAAAUGGAGGAAAGUUUGGAGGAGACUGGGAGUGUGGGAGUUAUGUGGAGAUCCUGACAAAAUUUAAG